UUCGAUGCAACGCGAAGAACCUUACCUGGUCUUGACAUCCCGGAGACCCUUAGGAAACGUAGGGGGUGCUUCCAUCUGGAAGAAUCUGGAGACAGGUGCUGCAUGGCUGUCGUCAGCUCGUGUCGUGGGAUGUUGGGUUAAGUCCCGCAACGAGCGCAACCCUUGCCUUUAGUUGCCAGCAGUUCGGCUGGGCACUCUAAAGGGACUGCCGGUGACAAACCGGAGGAAGGUGGGGAUGACGUCAAGUCAUCAUGGCCUUUAUGCCCAGGGCUACACACGUGCUACAAUGGCCGGCACAGACGGCAGCUUAGUGGCGACACUUGGCAAAUCCUCUAAAGCCGGUCCCAGUUCGGAUUGCAGUCUGCAACUCGACUGCAUGAAGCCGGAAUCGCUAGUAAUCGCAGAUCAGCCAAGCUGCGGUGAAUACGUUCCCGGGCCUU
rnacentral:rRNA from 1 species